GACGAACGCUGGCGGCGUGCUUAACACAUGCAAGUCGAACGGAAAGGCCCUGCUUUUGUGGGGUGCUCGAGUGGCGAACGGGUGAGUAACACGUGAGUAACCUGCCCUUGACUUUGGGAUAACUUCAGGAAACUGGGGCUAAUACCGGAUAGGAGCUCCUGCUGCAUGGUGGGGGUUGGAAAGUUUCGGCGGUUGGGGAUGGACUCGCGGCUUAUCAGCUUGUUGGUGGGGUAGUGGCUUACCAAGGCUUUGACGGGUAGCCGGCCUGAGAGGGUGACCGGCCACAUUGGGAGAGAGAUAAGGCGGAGACUACUACGGGAAGCAGCAGUGGGGAAUAGUGAACAAUGGGCGGAAGACUGAUGCAGCAACGCCGCGUGAGGGAAGAGGGACGUCGGGUUGUAAAGCGCGAGCGACUGGGAAGAAGCGUGAGUGAAGGUAAGGGGUAAAGAAGAACAGGCUAACUAAGUG
rnacentral:rRNA from 1 species